rnacentral:rRNA from 1 species
CUGGGUGUAAAGAGUUGCGUAGGUGGCAGGGUAAGUAGAUAGUGAAAUCUGGUGGCUCAACCAUUCAGACUAUUAUCUAAACUGCUCCGCUCGAGAGCGUUAGGGGUAGCUGGAAUUUCUAGUGUAGGAGUGAAAUCCGUAGAUAUUAGAAAGAACACCGAUAGCGUAGGCAGGCUACUGGGACGUUUCUGACACUAAGGCACGAAAGCGUGGGGAGCAAACGGGAUUAGAUACCCCGGUAGUCCACGCUGUAAACGAUGGAUACUAGCAGUUUCGGGUAUCGACCCCUGGAGUUGCGAAGCUAACGCGUUAAGUAUCCCACCUGUGUAGUACGAUCGCAAGAUUAAAACAUAAAGGAAUUGACGGGGACCCGCACAAGCGGUGGAGCGUGAUCUUUAAUUCGAUGGUAAACGAUAAACCUUACCAAGGCUUGACAUCUAGGAAAGGCUUCCGAAAGGAAACUGUGCCUUCGGGAAUCCUAAGACAGGUGAUGCAUGGCCGUCGUCAGCUCGUGUCGUGAGAUGUUUGGUUAAGUCCAUCAACGAGCGCAACCCUUGCAACCAGUUGUAUUUUUCUGGUAGGACUGCCCCGGUAACGGGGAGGAAGGAGGGGAUGAUGUCAGGUCAGUAUUUCCCUUACGCCUUGGGCUAGAAUCGCGCUACAAUGGCCGGUACAAUGCGAAGCGAAGCAGCGAUGUGAAGCAAACCGCAUCAAGGCCGGUCCCAGUUCGGAUAGGAGGCUGAAACUCGCCUUCUUGAAGUCGGAAUCGCUAGUAAUCGCAGAUCAGCAUGUUGCGGUGAAUACGUUCCCGGGUCUUGCACUCACCGCCCGU